rnacentral:sRNA from 1 species
UAUGAGAAACGAUAACAUGAAGCGACUU